rnacentral:rRNA from 1 species
AUGGUAGUGCAAUUCUGUGAUGAGAUUAUUGAGAACGACAGCUUAGUAACAUUCCAAAAAUGGUACUCUUUCUUAUUUCAGAAAAUUACCAAGAGGGUCCUUUUUGUUUGGAACAUGAUCACGGAAGUUGCUGGAUUUGCACCAUAUGAGAAGCGUGUCACCGAGAUUCUGAAGGUUGGAAAAGAUAAAUGUGCACUCAAGGUAGCCAAGAGAAAGCUAGGCACACACAAGAGAGCCAAGAAGCGUGAGGAGAUGUCCGGUGUUCUUAGGAAGAUGAGAGCUGCUGGAACCGCCGAGAGGAAGAAGUGA